rnacentral:rRNA from 1 species
GACGUAGGGGGCGAGCGUUGUCCGGAGUUACUGGGCGUAAAGGGCACGCAGGCGGUCUGCCACGUUCGCCAUGACAGUGUCGAGCUUCACUCGACAAGGGGGGCGAAAACGAGCGGACUUGAGACUCAGAGAGGGACCUGGAAUUCCGGGUGGAGUGGUGAAAUGCGUAGAUAUCCGGAGGAAGACCAAAGGCGAAGGCAGGGUCCUGGCUGAGGGCUGACGCUGAGGUGCGAAAGCGUGGGGAGCAAACGGG